GGGAGAACCAUUCGGAUCAGAAGCUUUGAAGUAGAAUUACAUAAGAAUUCUGAACAGAUACUAGAGGACACGGCGGAGAGAGAAGGAGAUCGAGAGACAAAGAGGGAGAGAGAAGGCGAGAUAAGUAGGAGGGGACCUGAGCCCUAGGACCAUGCCUCAGGACUACCUGGUAUGAUGACUCCUUGCUGUCCCCAGUCCACCUGGCCGUGCUGCUGCUCCAGUUUCAACUGUUCUGCCUGCGGCUAUGGAACCCUGACCUGUUCACCGGACGUGCUUGUUGCACCCUCGACAACUACUAUGAUUAUUAUUAUUUGACCAUGCUGGUCAUUUAUGAACAUUUUAACAUUUUGACCAUGUUCUGUUAUAAUAUCCACCCUGCACAGCCAGAAGAGGACUGGCCACCCCUCAUAGCCUGGUUCCUCUCUAGGUUUCUUCCUAGGUUUUUGGCCUUUCUAGGGAGUUUUUCCUAGGGAGUUUUUCCUAGCCACCGUGCUUCUUUCACAUGCUUUGCUUGCUGUUUGGGGUUUUAGGCUGGGUUUCUGUACAGCACUUUGAGAAUAUCAGCUGAUGUACGAAGGGCUAUAUAAAAAUAAAUUUGAUUUGAUUUGAAAUUUGAAUAAAG
rnacentral:lncRNA from 1 species